UACAGAGGGUGCGAGCGUUUAAUCGGAAUUACUGGGCGUAAAGCGCGCGUAGGCGGCUUUGCAAGUCGGGUGUGAAAUCCCCAGGCUUAACCUGGGAACUGCAUCCGAGACUGCAUUGCUAGAGUAUGGGAGAGGGAAGUGGAAUUUCAGGUGUAGCGGUGAAAUGCGUAGAUAUCUGAAGGAACAUCAGUGGCGAAAGCGACUUCCUGGACCAAUACUGACGCUCAUGUGCGAAAGCGUGGGGGAGCAAACAGG
rnacentral:rRNA from 1 species